GGGCCCUGGGACAAACAGUGUCCUCGCUGCUGAAGAACUAGUGGGCGGGGGGGGGACAUUCCCAGCAUCCCUCUUCUCUCGCUCCUGUGCAAAUAAUGACAGGAGCCAGCAGCUCACCACUGAAUCUGGGAGGCAGGAGGGGAGAACCAAGAAUGGGGUGCUUCCCAGGCAGUAGGCCCCCCCCCCGUCCCGCUCCCUCAUGGGACCAGGGACAUUUGUCAACCGCCUGCCCCUUGCUCAAUUACAACGAUGCCUCUGACUCAACACCCGAAUCCCUUGCUGCCCCUUAGGCCCAGAACUGCCUCCUCAGGAUGUCGCAGGGGUCUCCUUUCAGAGAGCCCUGCAAUGAGCUGCUGCCUCAGGGACCCCUGAAGCCAGCUCUGAUCACACAGGAGCCUCUGAAAGAAGCCCAGUUAUAGAUGGGGAAGAAGCCGGGAAGCCCCCCCCCCACACACACACUCCUAGCUGGGUGCCACUUUGGUGGCAGCCCUGCAGUCCAAAGCCCUUGGUGGCAGCCGGGUUGGCGGGAACCAGCUUUUAUUUAACAACGACUGCUGAGACAGACGAAAACUAUUUAUUUAUUUUACUGAUCCGUUUCUAUGCUGCAUGUCCUAUCACUCAUCCCGAGGCAGUCUACAAAAGUUAAUACAAUUAAAUUCCAUAAAGUCACAUUCAAAACCUUAAAAUCAGGACCACAGAAACACCUCAGAGUAGCAGCCAUUAAAAAAAACCAAAAACAGAGACAGAGUGGCCAGAAAGGAGAGAUAGGAAACCCCUAAGGGGUAAGAGGGAGUCGCCUGAAGUGGCGCAGCAGGGAAAUGCUUGACUAACAAGCAGAAGGUUGCCAGUUCGAAUCCCCGCUGGUGUGUUUCCCAGACUAUGGGAAACACCUCUAUCGGGCAGCAGCGAUCUAGGAAGGUGCUGAAAGGCAUCAUCUCAGACUGUGCAGGAGGAGGCCAUGGUCAACCCCUCCUGGAUUCUACCAAAGACAACCACAGGGCUUCUUGGGUGCCAGGAGUCGAAAUUGACUUGACGGUACACUUUACUUUGCUUUAAGGGGUAAAAGCCUGGACAAAUAAGAGUUUUUAGUUUUGUUUUGAUUUUAAAGCACCCACAGAUGUCAGAGACUGGACACCCACCGGGAGAGCAUUCCAGAGCCUGAGGGCAGCACCAGAGAAGGCCCUGUCCCAUGUGCACAACAAUCAAGCCUCCCUCAAGGUCGACACAUGGAGCAAAGCCCCCUCUGAUGGCCUUGUUGAGUGGGCAGAAACCCUUGAGCAGACAGUCCUUCUGAUAUUACACUGCAAUUUGAAAAAAGAUGACAUCCUCCAUCACAACAGCCACAAAGCACUCUGGGCUGCUCCCGCUGCCUGGAUAAAUCCCACAAACACAUUUGGCUGAAGCUGGUCUAAAACCUACAGCCAGCCCUGAUGAUAAUGCAACUUAAAAAAGAAGAGUUUUGCUGAAUACAUAGUUAAGCACAGCAAUCGCUUGCAAAUCUGUCAGACAAGAACUUGCAGAAAAGCAAAAAAGAUCCCUAGCUGAGUUCACCCACAACCAAUCAAUUUACGUAAAAUGAAAAUGUGCCAAUGUCUAUCCAAUAGAACUCAGUUUUCAAGUAGACGAUGAAGAAUGAUCCAGUGAUAUUCUCUCAUUGAAUUUACAAAGAUCCAAUCAGAUGCUGUGUUCAUAUGUUGCCAAACUUGUUUCAGCCAGCCAUUUUAUUUGACAAUAUAAUUUGAUUUUUGUUUUUAUUUUUUUGCCUUGGGUUCUUUUGGAAACUGAUAGACAAGAAGUUGCUGCAAUGAACUUAAAGGGAGAGCAGGGGCAACAACAACAACAAAAAGUUUCCCAGGGAUAAAAAAAAGAAGUUCCCUCCCCGGCAGUAUCUCCAAGAUAGGCCUGAGAGAGACUCCUGCCUGCAGCCUUGGAGAAGACGCUGCCAGUCUGUGAAGACAAUACUGAGCUAGAUAGACCAAUGGUCUGACUCAGUAUAUGGCAGCUUCCUAUGUUCCUAUGAGAUGCCAGGGUAAAUUUGAGAUGAACCUGAACAUUUAAAGCUGGGGUUCUCAAACUUGGUUCCCCAGAUGCUGCAGUACAGCUGUCAUCAUUUUCAACCACAGUGGCCAAAGUAGCUGGGGACUGUGGGUAACGUAGUCCAACAGCAUCUGAGGACCCAAGUUUGAGAAUCCCUGGUUAAAGGAAAGCUUUUAUAUAAAUGAUGAUCUUGGCUAACGGAUGGACAAAUGGAUGUCAGGCAGAGGGCUGCUGGAGAAGCCGACAUAAUGCUCUAAGGAAGAUAAUCCAGAAGCCGUGCAGGCUCCUUCUUCUGGAAAAGCAAGGAUGAAAGUCAUCUUGUUACAGAUAUGCUGAGUCCCUGGGAAAGUUUCUCGUCUUUUUUCCUUCCCCAAAGCCUGAAGCCACUGGAAAGGAAAGUUCAGAGGACCUCUGCUUAACUGGGGCCUUGCCCCUUUCCCGUAUCACACUUCAAGCAAUGUUUAGAGAAGCUAUCUUCCAGGAUAAGAAAACAGGCCUCGGGAGAUAGACUAUGUGAGAAAAGCUGAGUGGCUGUUCUUCAGUUGUGCAAAGGUUUAAGGUCCAUGACAAAAUACAGAGCGGGAUGCCCAGUGCAAGGCCAGCUGUGUGGGCGAAGCUGUGAAAGCCCCUUCAGGUCCUUAAUGGGUUGGAACGGCGGAGUCAGGGGAAAAUCAUCUGACUUCCUCCUCCGCAAGGCUUUUUCUGGGAAUAUCUACAGCUAGUCAGAAACGGGUUUGCAAAAAUGGAGAGGUCACGCUUGUCCAAGGCUAGGGGUUAAACAGUGAAUGAAAACCAGGUGGAAAAAUUUGUUCCACGAAGACUGCUCUUUCUGCCAAAGGUUUACUUAAAAAUGCAGCUUUAGUCUUUACAAAAAUUGUAGGUCACUGGGUUAGUCUGCUAGACCAAAUUCUGAAAACCACAGCCAGGUACGACUUUUAUUAGGACCGACUAAUAUCCGCUUUGGCUGAUGCAUCAGCUAUGCCCAUUGCUGGAGGUAAGGUAAAGUGUGCCGUCAAGUCGAUUUCGACUCCUGGUGCCCACAGAGCCUCAUGGUUGUCUUUGGUAGAAUACAGGAGCAGUUUACCAUUGCCUCCUCCUGUACAGUGUGAGAAGAUGCCUUUCAGCAUCUUCUGAUAUCGCUGCUGCCCGAUAUAGUACUAGCAGAGAUUUGAACUGGCAACCUUCUGCUUGUUAGUCAAGCAUCUCCCCCCUGCGCCACUUAAGGUGGUAAAUGGCCUUAAAACAGUGGUAUAUAUGCUGGUAACCUCCAAGUUUGACUACUGUAACACACUCUACAUGGGGCUACCUUUGCAUGUAGUCUGGAACCUACAAUUGGUGCAGAGUGCAGCAACCAGACUGGUGUCUGUGAAACCCAAAGAGACCAUAUAAAACCAAUUUUAAAAGAACUGCACUGGCUACCAAUGUGUUUCCAGGCAAAAUACAAAGUGCUGGUUAUGAUCUAUAAAGCCUUUAACGGCUUGGAUCCAGGGUGUUUAAGAGAGCACCUCCUGCCUAGUAAGACAAUCUGGGGAGGCCCAGUUAUGGUUGCCAUUGACACAUUUGGUGGCUACUAGGGGCUGGAGCUUCUCUGUGGUUGCCCCAGGGCUCUAGAACGCACUCCCUGUCAAAAGAAGAGCUUCUCCAUCUCUGGCUGGUGUUUUGUUUUGUUUUAAAGACCCUUAAGGCACAUUCAUUGUCUCGGGAUUUUAAUUGAUUGAUUUUAAAGGUCUUGUUUUAUAUCGUAAAUGUUGCAUCCUAUCCAGUUAUCCUUUGCAGUCUGUUUGGACAUUCGCCCCAAAGGGGAUCCUGUAGAGAGUGUGGGGGAGGCGUGAGAAAGAAAAAGGGAGGGGAAGGAGGAAAAUGGAGUUGUGGCUGAAUAAACCUUUAAUUAAAUCCACAUGAGAUCUCCUUGUGUGUAUGAGGGAAGCAGCCACCUAAUGGCGCAGCAGGGAAAUGACUUGACUAGCAAGACAGAGGUUGCUGGUUCAAAUCCCCGCUAGUAUGUUUUCCCAGACUAGAUGCCAGACUAUGGGGAACUCCUAUAUUGGGCAGCAGUGAUAUAGGAAGGUGCUGAAAGGCAAAAUCUUGUACUGCGUGGGAGGAAGGCAAGGGUAAACCCAACCUGUAUUCUACCAGGCACCCACAGGGCUCUGUGGUCAGUAGGAGGCCACUCCAACUCAACAGCACACUUUACUAUGAGGGGAGCAGCUAUAAAGCAGUAAAACUGUUUUAAUUAUUUUAUCCUGUUUUAUAUUUGUUGUAUUUUAACUUGUGUAUACCGCCUAGGGAUUCACAUAUCAGGCAGUAUAUAAACGAGAGAGAGAGAGAGAGAGAGAGAGAGAGAGAGAGAGAGAGAGAGAGAGAUGAAUCAUUCGUCCAUCUAGCUCAGUACUGCCCAGGGCUGCAUCAACGCCCCGAUGGGCCGGAAUCGUCCACAACUUGCCAUGCAGGGGCCAAGAAUAUCUGAAGGACUGCGAGGGUUUCUGCUCAUUUGACAAGAUCGUCGGAGGGGGGCUUUGCUCCGUGAGCUGAUUAUGAGAGGUUCGGCUGUUGAGCACGUAGGACAGGGCCGUCUCAGUCAUGGCCCCCAGGCUUUGGAAUGCUCUCCCAGCUGGCAUCUGCUCCUCAGCUGCCACCACUGUUUUAAGAAAACCAGACGUGGCUCUUCACCCAGGCCUUUAAAUGAGAUUAGUUUUUACUUCCGCUGCUCUGUGUUUUGUGCAUUAUUGUUUUAUAUAGGUUUUUAAAUAGGGAUUCUUUUUAUAUUUAUAUUAAUAGUUGUACUUUCUGUAUUUUAAUUGUGUUUUGAUUUGAGAUCUCAGAUUAUUUUAACAAAAAGCAGUAUAUAAAUCAAACGAUAAAUAAAUAAGUAAAGAAAUAUCCUUUCUGA